rnacentral:lncRNA from 1 species
ACCAACUCUACAUUAUGAACUAUAAUUAGUUGAGAGAAACUAAAUAAUUCAAUUUUAGUUCUCCUUACAAAUAAAUAACCCAGUAAUUUAGGUAAGUUGUAGCUUAGUCUCAGUUUUAUAGUUCCAAUGCUUGAAAUUGUAUAACAAAUUUGUUUGCAAUCCACCUUGUAUUGAAUAAUUAUGAUAUCUGAAAUGAUUAUAAAUAAUCAUAAAUUUCUUUGUUUGCUUUUUUAAUUAUUCUUUCGUAUGUUUCAAGGAUGUUCUAAUUGUAG